ACAGCAGGUGGUUUACAACUGUUCACAUCAGAACUUCAGCAACUAUAUAAUUGUAGUAACUUUUUUUUUUACAAAGUACUUCCUUCAGUAUUUUAAUAUUUUUGUGUUAAUCUGGCGUCAAAAGUGACAAUGAUGUGAAGCAGGAACUCACGAGGCCUUAGAAGACUUCUGAAUUCAUGCCAAUUAAUCUUUUUGUGAGAGAGUACAAGCGUGUAUGAAGGUAGUAAAAGACGACACACACACACACGCACACACAUAUACACACACACACUAUUAACCUCACACGGACGUCGCCUUGAUAGACUGUGACCUGUUUCUCUGGCCUGGCUUACCCCUCUCAACACCCUCAUAAACAUGACAAGGUUCUGGGAUCAAAGCUGCACAGGCCCUUUGUACACACAUUCAUGAACGCACACACACACACACGUACACACACACACACCGUUAUUCUCAUCAUCACACCGUUUGGCUGUUUUCUUGACAAACUCAGUCCAAAGUCCUGACACCGGAGGGGAAUACGUCGUCGUAAACCCAGAGCUGCUGUGCUCCUACUAAUAAUAAUGAAUUAAUAAUAAUAAUAAUAAUUUGUACUAUAUUGACCCCAUAUUUGGGAAAUUGUUGUGUUAGCAGCAGAUAUGCUGUUAACAGACUGCCCCCAGCAGGCGCCAAGCAUGUGGUUCCUCUGGGUAUCGAACCCAGGACUCUCUGCUCUCUGCUUCAGAGGCAGGUGUGCCAAAAGUUACUGUAAUAACAACCAACAUGGAUUGUGUUCCUUUCAGAGCUACAGCUUUAUAAUACUGUCAGUCUUUGGGGCAACUGAGGUGAAAAACGUAGCAUUCCCAGAUUCACGAAAACAACAGAGGAGCUAAAGAUGAUUCUUUGAUUCUUUUUACUGGAACAGUCGACAGAGGAGAAACAUUCAAUUGAUAUCUAUCUAAAACACGCAGUUCAGAGACGAGACGGUGCUGCAGAGGUACCGACGGAGAACACAUGCUAACUGAGUGCAACCUCUGCUGUAAAAGCCAUUAGCCUUUACUGCUGUCUUCCAUGACAGGUUGUCCUCGACUUAGCGUGCAAACCUGAGUGUGUGUGUUUGUUUGAGUGUGCAGGAGAGUGCUUUCACAGGCCCUACGAAGCAGUGAAGCAGCUCCGCAGAGCGACUGUGUUUGUCAUGAGACGGUGAGUGUGAGCCUUUUGAACAUGACCACCGUCUGACCUUCAGCUCUUCAACUCUUUCUCCACCUUGCGGAAAGAACGGUUGAGGAAACAAACUUCUUUUUUUAAAAAAAAACACGCCGGAGAAACAACCGUAACAAGUCGACGAGUGGAUAAGUGUACGAAUCACAUUAAGGUCCAACUGGUUACAGGUUUAAGUUACUGGAUUACAACUGCUCUCAGAUCUGUGCUGCCGGGACACGUGACUGUGUGAAGAACUCACAGCGACUGGGCUGAAACGUGUCUUCACUUUAGUUUUUUGGUUCUGUUUAGAGUGCACUUAGUUAUUGUCCACUAAGCUAUAAACUGACACUGUGUUUCCUUCAAGGUGUUUCAUCCUGUGCUAUACAUUCUGCAGUACUUAAGAAGUAAAGUAAGAAGUACACUCUGUACAUUAACGGGCUGUUAAGGCUGCUGACACGCCUCCAGAAAAAGUUUAACAAAAGACACCAGCGUUGCACCUUUUAUCCCUGCCCCCAAAUUCAGCAGAGAUAGCCAAUGACAUCAACAAUGAAAUCUCAAAUCCUCCACAGUCUUAUUGAGAAAUACAUUUUCAUUUCAUUGUCAAAUCUUUCAACAAUUCUAAUAAUAAUGGAAAAUGUAUAAAGCAAAAGGAUAAUUCUAUGGUACAUCGUCCCGUUACUGUCAAAUGGACAUCGGACCACACUGACACACUUUGGGACUGUGGACAUGUCCAGCAGCACCUCCGAGGCUGUGAUCCCACCUUUUCAUCCGGUGCAAAUGCCAUUUUUGUGAAAGGGUGAGAAAGGAGGUGGGAGAGAUGACAUGGAGCUAAGUGCCUAGGUGUUAGCUCCCCACCCGAAGACAUAAAGUGGCACUCACAGAGCAGGGGACUUCAAAUGCCAUGCUGCAUUUCAGAGACAAAGGUCAGCCAUCACUCUCAGAUGAACCGCUUUUCUAGAAAAUGUAGUAUUUCUUUCAACUGUGUGGAUUUAAUAUAUGUUGAAAAUAUUUUCAUUAGUUCUAAUUUCCUGCAGGGCAUCAUGGUAUUUUCACAGCAUUCAUGGAUACUCAGGAACAUUGUCCCUGACGAGGAAGUCAGGAGUCAGAAGAAGUCAUCAUCUUUGUCAAACUUUCACUUGUCUUCCUAAUCCUCGUCCAACUCAGACGAGCUAAUACUGAGGCUCCACUCAUUAGCUCGGUUACACCAGUGUGGCAGAUUAAUGUGCGAUCCCAGUCACAGGGUUGACUUGGUCACGGCCACAUACACAUGUAGUACCUUAUCUGAUAGCACCCACUGGGCUACUUAGAGUUGCCCUAAUGAUAAUGGAGGCUGAGACUUUUUCAAACUCCGCGCUUUGCCUUCAUAAGGCAGUAAAUUUGACCAGCAGGCCACGCAGGGCCAGCAGGGAGUUAAUGGUCGUCUCAUAAAAGCCUGAGGAGAGAGGUCAGGACUGCAGCAGGGAUUCCUGAUGCCCUAAAUGAGAAGCAGUUGUGACUGUUCCCAACCAAGAGGAGGGCAACAUGUCUGCCCUCACGUCUGAUGGGAAUAAGCCAUGAAACAGGUGUCAUCAUGUGACUGAACUACCUGAUGACUUAACCUUUGUGUUGUAACUUUCCUAAGUUUACACAUGAUUUACAUUUACAUUUGACUCUCUGUUCUGUCUAACUCUAAUCCCUGCUUCAAAUCCACCUGACUUCAAUUUUAGGUGGGACGGGUCUUGACAUGGAGCAUGAGUAUAUCAGCUACUGCUGCGGCAAAAAAAAA